AUACGUAGGGGGCAAGCGUUGUCCGGAAUUACUGGGCGUAAAGAGCUCGUAGGCGGCUCAGCAAGUCGGUCGUGAAAGCCCGAGGCUCAACCUCGGAACUGCGGUCGAUACUGCUGUGGCUAGAGUCCGGUAGAGGAGAGUGGAAUUCCCGGUGUAGCGGUGGAAUGCGCAGAUAUCGGGAGGAACACCAGUGGCGAAGGCGGCUCUCUGGGCCGGUACUGACGCUGAGGAGCGAAAGCGUGGGGAGCAAACAGGAUUAGAAACCCCGGUAGUCC
rnacentral:rRNA from 1 species